rnacentral:rRNA from 2 species
GAAUUUUAUAUAAAUUUAUUAAAAAAGUUUAGUUAAUGUUAGUAAUUUUAUAUUUUGUUGGGAGGAUAAUUAAAUUAUAAAAACUUUAAAAGUAUUUAGACAUUAAUUUAUGAAUGUAGUAAUAAUAUGAUUGGUUAAUUUAGUUUGAGUAGAAUUAAUUACCUUAGGGAUAACAGCGUAAUAUCUUUAGAGAGAUCUUAUUAAUAAAGAUGAUUGC